GCGCCGAUGGUAGUGUGGGGCUUCCCCAUGCGAGAGUAGGUCAUCGUCAGGC
rnacentral:rRNA from 1 species